rnacentral:lncRNA from 10 species
AGUGAAGAGGUGCCAGAAUCCGCGAAGAGGGUCGACGAAUGCGCUGCCGCGGAGGCAACAAUGGCCAUGAGGGAUUCAAGGAUUAUGCGUCUCUGCACCCUACAAUACACCAACUGGCAGUUCCAUCAUUUGAAAGAAAAUCUUCAAGGUAAAGACAUUUACAAUGACACAAAAACCUUUCAAAGGCAUCAUGGUCCUAAAGGGCUUUCCCCAAGGGACAGCACAGUGUGUUCCAGGCCCUGACAAGAGGUUUAAGACCUGUGACACAGACUGAAGCUCUCCUGGCAUACUCUGAAGCUCUCCUGGCACCCUCCCCUUUAUGCUUCACAGGUGUUUCUCCUAAUAAAUUUCUUGUAUGUCUCAUCCCAUCUGGG